AUUGAACGCUGGCGGCAGGCUUAACACAUGCAAGUCGAGCGGUAACAGAGAGAAGCUUGCUUCUCUGCUGACGAGCGGCGGACGGGUGAGUAAUGCCUAGGAAUCUGCCUAGUAGUGGGGGAUAACUUGCCGAAAGGUAAGCUAAUACCGCAUACGUCCUACGGGAGAAGGGAGGGGACCUUCGGGCCUUUCGCUAUCAGAUGAGCCUAGGUCGGAUUAGUUAGUUGGUGAGGUAAUGGCUCACCAAGACCGCGAUCCGUAACUGGUCUGAGAAGAUGAUCAGUCACACUGGAACUGAGACACGGUCCAGACUGCUACGGGAGGCAGCAGUGGGGAAUAUUGGACAAUGGGGGGAACCCUGAUCCAGCCAUGCCGCGUGUGUGAAGAAGGUCUUAGGAUUGUAAAGCACUUUAAGUUGGGAGGAAGAGCAGUUAACUAAUAUUUGACUGUUUUGACGUUACCGACAGAAUAAGCACCGGCUAACUUCGUGCCAGCCGCCGCGGUAA
rnacentral:rRNA from 1 species